CGGCUGGCUGCAGCCCCGGGAUGGCUCCUGCGAGGAGGGUAGAGAACAGCACACUCAAGCCGUGGAGCAGCUCUCCACACCCAACCAGGAACUGCAAGCCUGGCCGAGAUUCUCAGAUGCCUAUCGCCAAGCAGCGAGCCCGUGAUUGGCGCCGCGCUGCUGCGCGAGGCGGGGCUUCCUUCCUUGCCCAAGAGACCGGAAGUGGGCUCAUUUUCCACCGGAAGGAGAGAGAAGUUACAUGCAGAAGCCAGACACCUGAUGCUGGCAGCGCUUGUCGCGUGAAGUUGGGCCAGUAUCUGGCCAUCUAUUGCGGCGGGCGACAGUGGUGUCCCAGGAGGCUGGCUGGAGUGGCAGGCGUCAGAGGAAUGGGAGUAGAAGAGAUGGGUAUGUGAGUCCCUGAAAGCAGAGAGCAGUUCUUUGCAUGCUGUGAGCAUUCACGGAUGAUGCAGCCACACCAUGCCUCUGACAUGCAUAAUUCAAGUGGAGCAGAUACAGGCCUGUGGUUCCAGUACCACCGCUUGAGGAUUCUGUAAACGGUGAGUGUGUGGCAUGUAGCUCAGCUUGAGACAGGUAGGAAUUAGGCAGUGCUUCCCAGGGUUGAUUCUGAGCCAUACGGGGCAUUAGGAGGACAGAGAGGAGGAGGUCCACUCUAGGUGUCUAGGAAUCAGUUGAUGGUUUAUAAAGUAUAAAUGGUAAAAGGACAGUGUUGAGUAUCCUACACUUUUUCCAGAGUGCUGUCUGUACUUUUGGAUAUUGCUUCUUGUUUCUUCCUUCCCUCUUGCUGCUUCUCUUCCCUUUAGAUUAAUGUUUAGGGCGUGGAAGGAAAUAGAGUAGGUGGCAAAAUGACAGCAGGCAUAUGGAAGAGUAAUGUCCACAUCUAGUCAGUCCAUUUCUAAGAUGUCCAUUCCAUGUUCUUGUUUUGUUAAAGUGGACAACUAGGAACUGGGGUUUUGUUGGCUGGGUGCUUUUUCCAGUGAGUAUAUUACAUCCCUGUCUCUAAACCAGUCUGUUUAAAUCUCUUAAAUUUCCUUCAAGGAAAAGAUCCAUAUUUAGGCUCAGGAAGGGGUGGGGGGGAAGAGCAGAUUUGGGUCCUAGUCCAUACUAUGGAAGUAUUGUGACUUAGUAACUGCAUGUUGUUUGAAUCAGCUGUAACCUGUUUAAUUCUAAAAAUUUAAAUGAAUGAUGGUUUAAUUCUACCAUAUUUGAGUAAGAGAAAAUAGAUUCUGUCAGUCUAAGACUAGGAAGAAAAGUUAGUCCAACUAUGGGUUGAGCUUCAUUUAUUUCCAGGAUUGGUGUCAGCAGAGAACAAACAGUGACGUGAUGAGACACAAUGAACUUGACAAGAACCAUGCAGCAAUGGCUAUUUUUGAGUGGCAUUGGUGCCAAGUCAUAGGUACCCUCCUUACUAAUAACAGAUGCUGUCUGGCAAACUGGUGCCUUGCAUUUAUCUCUGCUAACCACUGGCAUUAAGAGAAGCAUAUCUGCAAUGUUCAGAUUAUGAAAGCCUGAGUUAUGAAUGAUCUUUUCUUUACUAUCUAGGAAUUUUAAGAACAGUGGUUUAAGAAUAGGUUUGUAGUCCAGACUAGCUUUAGACUUGUGGCAGUCCUACUGCUUCAGCCUCCUUAGUGCUGAGAUUACUGGGGUGAGCCACCAUGACUAACUUUUAGUUUAGUUUCUUCAGAUAGGGUCUCAUGUAGCCCAGGCUGGCUUCAAACUUGCUAUGUAGCUGAGGGUGACCUGAACUCCUGGUUCUCCUGCCUCUACUGUCCAAGUUCUGGGAUUACGGGCAUGCCCAGCUAGAGAAUCAUAACGCUUUAAGUGGUGGAUUUAGUCAUGUUCUUCUGGAGACUAAGAAAACAGAGUCCUUGAAGUCAAGGACUCUGCCUUUAGCCUCCUAAAUGAAAAGGUAGAUAGAACAGGUCUUGUUUGCAAAAUAAAUCCAAGACCUACUUAUCUACCAACAGCCAUUACCUACUUCCUGCUGUCGUACUACAGGGAAUGGUUGGCGUGAACUGAUAGCUGGGGAAGCUGGAGUGGACACAGUCUCCUCUACUAGUGAUAGGGAGGUGCCGAGAGGUCAGACGGGGUUUAGAAAGUUGAGGAGCCGCUCCCUAUAGUGCAGGUUUCAAGGAUCUUAUCAUUUACAGAAUGCCACAUCAGAGUAAAUUACACUGUGCACAGCUUCCGGUGAGUGAGUCAUGUAGGGUGGUGAUUUUACCAGAUUUGAGAAUGAGAAGUUGAGAAUGCCCAACUGCCGAUAGUUUUUCUAUUAUGUACUGACAGCCAAGUACAUGCUCAGAAACAUUUUACUGCAUGUGUGCAAGUGUCUACAUCAUUAACCAGCAGGGAGCCCCUUAUUUUUAUUUAUGUGGGGCGGGGAGUGAGGAGGGGGUUUUGUGUCUUGGUACACAUAUGGAGUUCCAAAGACAACUUGCAGAGUCUUUCCUUCCAUCACAUGGGUUCUGGAGAAUGAACUCAGGUCAUCAGGUUUGGCAACAAGUACCCAGCCCCAGAUGCCAAUCAAACAACACUUUUUUUUUCAUUCAUGGUGACUUAUGCCUUGCGAUUCCAACAUUUGGGAAACUGAAGCAGGAGGAUAGCCAUGAGUGCAAGGUCAGUUUGGGCUACCUAGUGAGAUACUGUCUCAAACAGCCAAAACCAAACCACCACCACCAACGACCAAAAAAAAAAAAAAAAAAAAAAAAAGACAAAACAAACAAUUUAAUUUUAACAGAAGUCGAUACUAUUUUAUAGCAAACAUUCCUAACUACUUGUUCGUUCUGUCUUCUAAAGGUGUUACAUUCUGGACAGUCUAACUACUAAAUGCUUGAAUGCUUGCUAGUUCCCACCAUGGUCCUGUGAAGGCUUACCGACUCGUUCCCCUUUGCUAGGGUGGGGAGCCAGGCCUUGUGUGAUGAUUCAGUCAGGAGUUACACACUGAGACAGGGAAAGGUGGGAGGAGAGCUGAUGUUAGUGUAGUUUGGUUUAUCUGCCCAGUAUCAGGGAUCAUGGUCAUAGCUGUCUGUUUUUAAAAAUACUUUUCUACCCUGGGCAUGUUGACAGGAGUUCAAGGCCAGCCAGCCUAAUGUUUUUCUUUUCUUUUUCUUUUUCUUUUUUUUAACAGAUUUAUCAGCAGGUUGCAGCUGAACAUGGACAUGAGGUAAACCCUGCCCCUGGUUAAAAUUUAGUUUAAUCAACUUCUGCAUGGAAUUGUAAGGACAUGGACUAUAUCACAGAAUCCAGCAGGUUCCCUCCCCCUUUCUUUAGAUUUAUCUUUUCUUCUUUAAGAAGAUAACAUGCUUAAACAAAGUUUCUUUAUGGUUAGCAACUGUGAUUCUUGAAGUUGGGCAACCCCUAGUUUAAAUAAAUUUUAAAUGUCAAAGAUCUAGAUAUCUUGUUAAAUUAAAAAAAAAGUAUUAAAAUCCUACCAGGUGUCAUGUUUUUGCCAUUUACCUAUGCUUGUCUUCUGUGUGAUACAUUCCAGGAAUCCCACUAGAACUCUGAAGUCAAACUGGCCAUGUCUGUGACCCACAUUUCCUAUUUGGUGGUUUCUAUUUCAGUAGCUGAGAAUACCUUUCACUAUAUAUACAUGCAUAUUUCAUUAGCAAUUUCAGCCAAUUCUGUGUAAGGUAGGAGGCCCAGCUUGUCAGAGCAGG
ensembl:lncRNA